rnacentral:lncRNA from 1 species
GCCAGGUGUCAAAUCAGCUCAUACUCGGGGCGUUUCUGAGCUGCUCCUUGGCCAGGCAGAGCUGCGGGCCCGUCAGCAUUCACAGGGCACCCCAGAGGCGCCAGGCACAGCCUUAUGACCCAGCAUUUUGUUCAACAUGGCUCUCUUCUUGCUUCUCACUCUAUCUGGCUCUGGAAGGGAAUUCUACAUGAAGAAGAAAGCAUAGGUGGUUGUGCAAGUCAGGUGAUGACUUCUGUUGUCCGUUCUCCAUCCCAGCCCUGCAGCUCAUCAGCGUGCUCUUCUCUCUAGGCUGACAGCCUCUCGGAUCCAAGGCACUUGUGUGAAAAACAUCCGUCUUCCUGUCGUCAUCACUGAGUGAGCCCACGGUCACCAAUCCCUGGGUCACAGCUCCCCAAAACCAAGAGAAACAGCCAGCGGGACAAGGCCAGGGCAGCCCUAAACAUGCCACAUCACCCCAGUGCUAUGCGAAGGAAGCUUCAGGGGCAUCUUCAAGGAAAUGUGUGAAUCUGAAUAAAUUUUACAGAUUAAAACUUUUACAAAAUUUAUAAAAUUUUAAUCAUUCCAAUUAAGCAUUUAGAACACUACUUGGUUAGUGGGAAAUUUAUAGCUCUAAAUGCCCAUCCUCAAAAGAAGAAAUGCUUAAAAUCAACGACCUGAAGUUCCACCUUAAAAUGCUAGAAAAAGAAGAGCAAAAGUAACACAAAGUAAGUGUUAACAAAAAAUAAAGAACAGAAAUCAAUGAAAUAAAGAGCAGAUGACAGAGAAAUUUAGCAAAACCAAAAGUUGGUUCUUUGAAGGGACUGGCAAACUUGAUAAACUCCAACCUAGACUGAUCAAGAAGAGAGAGAGCACAUGUUAGCAAGACCAGGAAUGGAGGAGGGUCAUCAUAACAGACCCUACAGGCAUCAAGAGAAUCAGCAGCAGAUGGUCGUUGUCUGGGCCCCAGCUCAGACUAAAGAGAGCUUUUUGGACAGAAACCUGUGUAUCAAUUGUGAUAGUUACACGAGUAUUUCCAUGGUAUUUCCAUUUGUUAAAGAUGCAAAAUUUUGUUGGAUGUAUGUUAUACUUCAAUGAACUUGAUAUCAACAGUAAAAAGGUUUUCCUGCCUUCUUAAACAGAGACAAUUUUUCAUGUUCCUCUGCU